UGGGGAAUAUUGGACAAUGGACCAAGAGUCUGAUCCAGCAAUUCUGUGUGCACGAUGAAGUUUUUCGGAAUGUAAAGUGCUUUCAGUUGGGAAGAAAGAAAUGACGGUACCAACAGAAGAAGUGACGGCUAAAUACGUGCCAGCAGCCGCGGUAAUACGUAUGUCACGAGCGUUAUCCGGAUUUAUUGGGCGUAAAGCGCGUCUAGGUGGUUAUGUAAGUCUGAUGUGAAAAUGCAGGGCUCAACUCUGUAUUGCGUUGGAAACUGUAUAACUAGAGUACUGGAGAGGUAAGCGGAACUACAAGUGUAGAGGUGAAAUUCGUAGAUAUUUGUAGGAAUUCCGAUGGGGAAGCCAGCUUACUGGACAGAUACUGACGCUGAAGCGCGAAAGCGUGGGUAGCAAACAGG
rnacentral:rRNA from 1 species